rnacentral:snRNA from 1 species
AUCUUUGAUAUGGCAGUGGCAGUAUCAUAGCCAAUGAGGUUAAUCCGAGGUGUGAUUAUUGCUAAUUGAAAUUGCUCCUUAGGAGGCCCCUGUUAUGAUGACAUGCUGAAGAUAGUGCUAUGCAUACAGGAUAACUUCUAGGGAGCAACUUGAAGGCGACCAUAAGCUUGGACCAUCUCUCUAUCUCUGUUACUGUUGCCAAAAGAAACAUUUUUAAACAGAUAUUUAUAUG